CCUGCGGAAGGAUCAUUAAUGAAAUUAUAAUCCGGCGAGGGAAAGGCGGAGAGUUGUAGCUGGCCCCAGGGCAUGUGCACGCUCUCUUCCGGACUUUCGCCGUAUGGGCGCGGGGCGACCCGCGUCUUCAUAUACCUCUUCGUGUAGAAAGUCUUUGAAUGUUAUUACCAUCAUCGAGUCGCGACUUCUAGGAGACGCGAUUCUUUGAGACAAAAGUUAUUACAACUUUCAGCAACGGAUCUCUUGGCUCUCGCAUCGAUGAAGAACGCAGCGAAUCGCGAUAUGUAAUGUGAAUUGCAGAUCUACAGUGAAUCAUCGAAUCUUUGAACGCACCUUGCGCUCCUCGGUGUUCCGAGGAGCAUGCCUGUUUGAGUGUCAGUAAAUUCUCAACCCCUCUCGAUUUGCUUCGAAAGGGCGCUUGGAUGUUGGGGGCUGCCGGAGACACUGGACUCGUCCAGGACUCGGGCUCCUCUUAAAUGAAUCGGCUUGCGGUCGACUUUCGACUUUGCAUGACAAGGCCUUUGGCGUGAUAAUGAUCGCCGUUCGCCGAAGUGCAAGACAGAACGGUCCCGUGCCUCUAAUGCGUCGACGCCUCUCGGGGCCGUCUUCCUCAUUGACGUUUGACCUCAAAUCAGGUAGGACUACCCGCUGAACUUAAGCAUAUCAAUAAGCCGGC
rnacentral:rRNA from 1 species